UACAGAGGUCUCAAGCGUUGUUCGGAUUCAUUGGGCGUAAAGGGUGCGUAGGGGGCAUGGUAAGUCGGAUGUGAAAUCCCGGGGCUCAACCCCGGAACUGCAUUCGAUACUGCUGAGCUAGAGUACUGGAGAGGAGAUUGGAAUUUACGGUGUAGCAGUGAAAUGCGUAGAUAUCGUAAGGAAGACCAGUGGCGAAGGCGGAUCUCUGGACAGUUACUGACACUGAGGCACGAAGGCCAGGGGAGCAAACGGG
rnacentral:rRNA from 1 species